AGCUCCAAUAGCGUAUAUUAAAGUUGCUGCAGUUAAAAAGCUCGUAGUUGGAUUUGUGGGAUGGCCGUCCGGCGGGGGGCCAUUUAUUGGUCCCGUUUGUCCUGGUUUUCGGCCUUCCCUUUCUCGGGUCUAGCGUAUUGGCUGGCAUUAGGUUGUCGGCCGCUUCGCGCCCGUCGUUUACUGUGAAAAAAUUAGAGUGCUCAAAGCAGGCUUUACACGCUUGAAUAUUCGUGCAUGGAAUAAUAGAAUAGGAUGUGAUUUCUAUUUUGUUGGUUUUCGGAAAUUCACAUAAUGAUUAAUAGGGACAGUCGGGGGCAUUAGUAUUCAGACGAUAGAGGUGAAAUUCUUGGACCGUCUGAGGACUAACUACUGCGAAAGCAUUUGCCAAGAAUGUUUUCAU
rnacentral:rRNA from 1 species